GGAUUGAUCUCAGGACCCUACACUUGCCAGAGAGGCGCUUAUUCUACUGAGCUAUCUCCCCAGCCCCACAAGUCUUAAAAAAUUUUCAAUAGUAUUCCAUGUGCGGCCCUCCCAAAAGCUGCAUGCUCAGUCAAAGAGGGCAACAACCCCAGAUAGAGAGUGUCUAUUCCCCUGUCAAGGGUAUGAGCAGCUCUGCUCCCCUGCUAGAAUCUCCAAAUAAGCUCUCAAUAGUAUCAAACAGAUUCUGUUCUAGAAACACUUAAGUGUUUUCAAAAGGUUUGUGCACAUAUAGAUCUCUAU
rnacentral:snRNA from 1 species